rnacentral:lncRNA from 1 species
UUUGAUGAUCUUAUGGCGGAGAAGGAAGCUGUAUCUUCAAAAUGUGUCAAUUUGGCUAAAGAGAAUCAAGUUUUUCAACAGGAGUUAUUAUCUAUGAAAAAAGUACAACAGGAAUGUGAAAAACUUGAGGAAGAUAAAAAGAUGUUGGAAGAAGAAAUAUUAAAUCUUAAGACACAUAUGGAAAACAGUAUGGUAGAACUUAGUAAACUACAAGAAUAUAAAUCAGAGCUAGAUGAAAGGGCAAUGCAGGCAGUAGAAAAAUUAGAAGAAAUCCAUUUACAGGAACAAGCACAAUAUAAAAAACAAUUAGAGCAGUUAAACAAGGAUAUCAUACAGCUUCACUAAAUAAGAAGGAACUCACACUUAAAGAUGUGGAUUGUAAAUUCUACAAAAUGAAAACUGCUUAUGAAGAGGUUACAACUGAGUUAGAAGAAUAUAAGGAAGCCUUUGCAGCAGCAUUGAAAGCUAACAGUUCCAUGUCAAAAAAAUUAACUAAAUCGAAUAAGAAAAUAGCAAUGAUCAGUAUCAGCUCUUUAUGGAGAAAGAGCAGGUGAAAUAUUUUCUCAGCACUCUUCCUACAAGGUGAGGUCGAGAGUCACCUUGUGUUGAAAAUCUUACUAGUAUAGGACUCAACAGAAAAUAUAUUCCCCAAAUGCCCGUAAGAAUUCCUACUUCAAACCUCAGACUUCAAAUAACUGCCAGAACUACUUGACUGAGCUGUUGCUGUAUUGGACACUUGCUCCCAUCUACUUUCUUCUCUAGAAUCCACGGGUAAGCCACAUCUAAUGAAGAGAAUAUUUAACCAUAAAGUCUUAAGGAAAAAUUCUAUGAUGAUUUAAAAGAUUAUAAAACUUUAUUACUGGGCUAUUUACACAUUUUAAUUGUUUCUCAUAAAAUAUAUAACAUUCCAAUAUUUACUGAAGUAGGAUAUUUUUGUAUCAUAUGUAUGAUUAUAAUUUAUAGGAUAUUUUAAAUGAUGUUUUUUGGCCUCCUUAAGUUUUAAGUGGAUCUUGCAAAUGAAAACCAGUAUUAUUGAGUUUGACAUACUCAAAUUGCCCAAAUUUCAGCUGUUUAAACAACCAAGUCAUCAUUGAUACUUUAGUAAAGGUUAGUAAAUGUCAUCGAAGGCUUAUUUGCAUUUUACAGUUUUUAUUACUUAGGAGAGUUAAGGAGUACCUGCCAGGUUUGUCCAUGCUAAUGUUACAAUUUUCUUUUUGUAGUUCAACCGUAUUUUGUAUGGAGAUACUUUGAGGCUCUGUAAAUAUCUGGUUACUCCUCAGAACCCACUAGAUUUAGCAUUUCAUGGAUGACUUGUGUUUGAACAAUUAUUACUAUGAUGGUUACCAGAUGAUUAUUUUCUUAUUCUCUUCUUUGUUCUACAUGGAGAAAUAAAACCAAUAAAUAAGGGAG